rnacentral:rRNA from 1 species
AACGGCUGGCGGCGUGCCUAAUACAUGCAAGUCGAACGCAUUACUUCGGUAGUGAGUGGCGAACGGGUGAGUAACACGUAGGUAACUACCUCUAAGACGAGGAUGACGACUGGAAACGGUCGCUAAAACUGGAUAGGAUCAUUUGAGGCAUCUCGAAUGAUUUAAAGGGGCUUUCAAGCCACACUUAGAGAAAGGCCUGCGGCGCAUUAGCUAGUUGGUGGGGUAGAGGCCUACCAAGGUGAUGAUGCGUAGCCGGACUGAGAGGUCGAACGGCCACAUUGGGACUGAGACACGGCCCAAACUCCUACGGGAGGCAGCAGUAGGGAAUUUUCGGCAAUGGGGGAAACCCUGACCGAGCAACGCCGCGUGAAUGAAGAACCGUAUUUCGGUAUGUAAAGUUCUUUUAUUAAGGAAGAAUAUCACGGAUAGGAAAUGAUCUGUGAGUGACGGUACUUAAUGAAUAAGCCCCGGCUAACUAUGUGCCAGCCGCUGC